GGCCUCGUGGUGGCAGUAGCACAUCAGAUUGCAAAUCUGAAGACGCAGGCAAUCCCCCUGCCGGGGCUU
rnacentral:tRNA from 1 species